rnacentral:rRNA from 1 species
GGACUACUGGGGUUUCUAAUCCUGUUUGAUCCCCACACUUUCGUGCCUCAGCGUCAGUUACUCCUUAGUAAGCUGCCUUCGCUAUCGGUGUUCUGGACGAUCUCUAAGCAUUUCACCGCUACACCGUCCAUUCCGCCUACCUCAUCAGUACUCAAGUUCCCCAGUAUCAACAGCACCUCGACAGUUGAGCUGCCGUAUUUCACUGCUGACUUAGAAAACCGCCUACGCACCCUUUAAACCCAAUAAAUCCGGACAACGCUUGCCACCUACGUAUUACCGCGGCUGCUGGCAC